UCACAAGAACAGAUUGCACCCCUCACCCUGUAGAGUCCUCUUAAAUGCUGCCACGGCUGCUGGGCAUUCAGGAAUGUAAACAGCUCCAUCCAAAAGUUAUUCCUAGUACCGGGAAAAAAGUCUUUCCCAGAUUCACAGCGUCUUGAUUAUGUACACUCUUUGCAGGAUGAAAAACAUCCUGGGCCAAGAGUUAGGAGGCACAGUUUCCUAUCUUUCUCCAUGAUCAGCUAGUUGUGCCUUAGUUUGCUCAUUGGUAAAUGGUGGAGUUGCUUGAAUUGGAAGGUGUCUUCUAGCCUGUAGGCUUCACGAUUCUCAAGGGCAGUGUUCUCUGUCCCAUAAAUGUUUAGGUGAAGGGCAGCAGGGUGAGUAGCUGGUGCCUCAGCUUUGCUAGGGUCGCAGGCUUGUGUCUAACACAAUUACACCUGGAGCACCUCCUCCUCCAGUUUGGUGGGAAUCUUAAGCCACAGAGAUUCAGGUUUACCUUAUAUUUGAACAAUAAUCUCAUUGUCUAAACCUGGGACACUUUUGAGAGUGAAAGAGGGUUCUCUUAAGAAUUGUGUCAGAACACUGGAGGUAACUUGGAGAAAUUUAAUAUCUCCCCAGAUUGUAUGAGGCCAGAAACUCCAGGAUUGUAUUUGAUCCUAAUUCCACACUGUCAUAUAUAAGGGGAAAUGGCACAAAUCAGUUCUACCGUAUCACCAGCCAACCUAUUUUCUGAUGAGAAGGACAAUCCUUUGUUUUGGAGGAGUUUAUAAAGUGGAAUUUAUUUUACUCGACUCCUUCUUUGAUUGAAAUAUUGUCAACUUAACAAAAUAGUGAAAGAGCAUUGGCCUGGAGUCAGAAGACUUGAAUUCUCAUCCUAGAUCUGCUACUAACUAGCUGUUUGACCCUGAGAAGUCACUUUACCAGAAUUACAGUCUUUCUCUGAGAUGAGGAAAGUGGAGUAGAUAUGUCACUUGAGGUCCCUCCCAAGUGCUAAGAUUCUAUGACUCCACGAAUUCAGACUAUCAGAGGAGAACACUGCAGCGUUCUUCUACAUAGGUUGUAAAUGAGUCCGCUUGGCUUUUGGCCUGUCUCUCUCCUUGUUGUAAGAUGGCUAUAUUUUGAGAUACUUGCCGUUGAGAUACAGUCACUAUGUGGGAGGAAACCCAGGUGGCAUGGAGAGGCCACAUGUAGGUGUUGUAACCGACAGCUCGUUAAGUUCUAGCGGAAGCCAGCAUCAACCUGCAGAGUGAAUGAACCUUCGAUUGAGCUCAACUCCCAGCCCCAGAGUCUUCCAGUUUAGGCCUCAGAUAUCACAGAGAAGAGACAAACCAUCCCCCUAUGCUGUGCUGAAUUCCUGAGCCACAGAAACCUGAGAGAUGUUAAAUGAUUAUUGCUUUAAGUCACUGAAAUUUGAACUAAUUUGUUAUGCAGCAAUAGAUAACUUUUGCUAUAUGCUUCAUUGUUCAUGUGCAAUCGGUCGAGGAAGAUGGGGGAGGGCAGAGAGACUAUGAGAAACUAUCCCUUGCUAUGGAGUAACCAUCUUCCCCUUCAGUCUGAAUGAGCCAACUUAGGUCUCAUACCCACUCGCAGACCAAUAGCAGCUAUCAGAGAAAGUCAUGCAUUGGUUGGCCUGGAAUACUUGGGAUCUCCCCUCUCAAGCUGGGCAUAGAGCCAGCUUCCCUGGCGUCAUGUGAGCUGACUAGGGGUUAGUUACAGACCUGAGCCAAAUAUAGUUAAAAAGGAGAAAAGGGAAAUGAAAGGUGAGCUAGAGGAAAUGAGGUUCACUACAUGCAGGUAAAAAAUGAUUCACAGAUGUUAAAGUAACACUGAUGAGAUUACUGCGUUAAUAUAGAAUAAAAAUUGAAUGACAAAGAGACCAUUUAGUAUUUAAGCAUAAUCAGUAUUUAUAGAAUGUCUUCUGUAUAAAAGUCACUGUAUUAUGAAUUCCAGGGAGUCAGUGAUUAGUCAGACGUGGAGCUUGCUCUCAAAGAGCUUAUGCUAUAGUUGUUUGGUGAAAAGUGAAAGCGAAAUACAGAUUGAGCGACAGGGGAGCUCAGAGAGGAGGGAGAUUGCUUCAACUCAGGACAGUCAGGGAGGGCUUUUUGGAGGAGCUGGCAUUUGACCUGAGAAUGAGUCAGAUUUGCAUCUAUGGAGAACAAUAGGGAAGGGAUUCCAAGCAGAAGGAACAGCACAAGCAAAGGCAUGGAGAUAGGAAACCUAUAGAUAAAGUCUGAGAACAUCAGAGACAAAUCAGAAAAUAAUAAUAACAAGUGGUGCCUCUUACUAUGAGAUAUAGAGACUUCUUAUAGAGCUUUAAUAAUUAAAGGACUUUGUGUGGCAUUGGCACAGAAAGAGACAAAAAGAACAAAUGAACAAAUAAGUGAGGAACAAGCUAACCAAUCAAAAACUGGAACAGAGAGCAUAGGAACAUCCCCACAUGUAUAUGGAAACUUGGUGUGUAAUAGAGGGCAUUGCAUUUCAGAAGGGAAAAGAAAGACUGUUCAAUCAAUGGUGCAGAACAAUUAUCCAAAGAGAUGGAAAAAGAUACGAUUAGGUCCCCAUCUCAUACCACACACAAAAAUUAAUUCCAG
ensembl:lncRNA